rnacentral:snoRNA from 1 species
AUAUGGGGAUAAUAAAAGCACCUACCUUACAAGAUUUCUGUGAGGAUUUUGUGAAGCAAUAUAAGUAAUUUGUUUUACAAACCUUCAUGU